rnacentral:rRNA from 1 species
UGAGGAAUAUUGGUCAAUGGGCGAGAGCCUGAACCAGCCAAGUCGCGUGAAGGAAGAAGGAUCUAUGGCUCGUAAACUUCUUUUUUAGGGGAAUAAAGUGCGGUACGUGUACCGUUUUGUAUGUACCCUACGAAUAAGGAUCGGCUAACUCCGUGCCAGCAGCCGCGGUAAUACGGAGGAUCCGAGCGUUAUCCGGAUUUAUUGGGUUUAAAGGGUGCGUAGGCGGAAGAAUAAGUCAGUGGUGAAAGUUUGCAGCUCAACUGUAAAAUUGCCGUUGAAACUGUUUUUCUUGAGUGUAGAUGAGGUAGGUGGAAUGUGGUGUGUAGCGGUGAAAUGCUUAGAUAUGACACAGAACACCGGUUGCGAAGGCAGCUUACUAAGAUACAACUGACGCUGAGGCACGAAAGCGUGGGGAUCGAACA